UACGGUCAUAUCACGUUGAAACACCGGUUCUCGUCCGAUUUUGAAGUUAAGCAACGUUGAGCCUGGUCAGCGCCUAGAUGGGUGACGGUUUGGUAAUACCAGGUGCUGUCAGC